rnacentral:rRNA from 1 species
AUUGAACGCUGGCGGCAUGCCUUACACAUGCAAGUCGAACGGCAGCACGGGUGCUUGCACCUGGUGGCGAGUGGCGAACGGGUGAGUAAUACAUCGGAACAUGUCCUGUAGUGGGGGAUAGCCCGGCGAAAGCCGGAUUAAUACCGCAUACGAUCUACGGAUGAAAGCGGGGGACCUUCGGGCCUCGCGCUAUAGGGUUGGCCGAUGGCUGAUUAGCUAGUUGGUGGGGUAAAGGCCUACCAAGGCGACAAUCAGUAGCUGGUCUGAGAGGACGACCAGCCACACUGGGACUGAGACACGGCCCAGACUCCUACGGGAGGCAGCAGUGGGGAAUUUUGGACAAUGGGCGAAAGCCUGAUCCAGCAAUGCCGCGUGUGUGAAGAAGGCCUUCGGGUUGUAAAGCACUUUUGUCCGGAAAGAAAUCCUUGGCUCUAAUACAGUCGGGGGAUGACGGUACCGGAAGAAUAAGCACCGGCUAACUACGUG